UACGAAGGGGGCUAGCGUUGUUCGGAUUUACUGGGCGUAAAGCGCACGUAGGCGGAUUGUUAAGUCAGGGGUGAAAUCCUGGAGCUCAACUCCAGAACUGCCUUUGAUACUGGCAAUCUUGAGUCCGGAAGAGGUGAGUGGAACUCCUAGUGUAGAGGUGGAAUUCGUAGAUAUUAGGAAGAACACCAGUGGCGAAGGCGGCUCGCUGGUCCGGUACUGACGCUGAGGUGCGAAAGCGUGGGGAGCAAACAGGG
rnacentral:rRNA from 1 species